GCCUCAGGUGGGGCUGGGGAAGCCUGCUGUGAGAAGGCGCUUCUGUGAAAUGGUGCACAGUGAGGAAAAGGCCUGAAGUUGUGGGCAAGUGGUUUUGAGCUAGGUGUAAAAGCUCCGGUUAUUACCCGAGCCCGUUCCCAUGCAGUGCAGUCGGAAUUGCCAGAUCCUGGGCAGACAGAAGUUUGUCGAUCGCCGCCUUAAACCUAGAAGCUCAGUAUGAAUGUAUUGACCAAAUCUCUGGACCCACGUUUCUACCUAGGGAUUAGGAAGACUUUGAUGUGGAUCACUUUAUGUCUGACUGUCGGAAGCGAGUGCAGCUGGAAGCACUUAGAGAUGACCUGGAGCUCUACUAUAAGCUGCUUAAAACAGCCAUGGUUGAGCUCAUCAACAAGGACUACGCAGACUUUGUCAACCUGUCAACAAACCUGAGUCUUCGGUCAUCUGUCAGUGAAGGAAUUCGGGCAGUAGAUGAAUGAAUGUCUAAACAAGAGGACAUUAUGGGAAAAAAGAUAUGUGUGUUGUGGCUUAUACAGUUUAUUCCAUCAGUUGAGAAAAUUGAAAAAAUCUUAAAUUCUCAACAUUCUAAAGAAACAUCUGCACUAGAAGCAAGCAGCAUAUAGCUGGUAUUACAGCCAUGUUACAACAGUCAUUGGAAGGCCUCCUAUUAGAAGGUCUUCAGACUUCCUGUGUCAAUAUUAUUCGGCACUGCUUACGGACUUAGGCCACAAUUGACAAGACACGGGAUGCAGAGGCGUCAGUUGGUCAGGUCCUCGUGAAACUGUACAUAGAUGAGGUGAUUCUAGAGCAGAUUGUUGAUAGUCGUCUGAGUGAUCUCCAGCUCAUGUAUGAUAAACUCCUGGAGUUCGUUCCCCAUCACUGCCGCCUUCUUCGAGAGGUCACAGGAGGAGCCAUCUCAAGUGAAAAGGGCAAUACUGUUCCCGGCUAUGAUUUUUUGGUGAAUUCUGUCUGGCCAGAAAUAGUACGAGGAUUAGAAGAAAAGUUAACCCUCACUUUUUAAUCCUGGGGAUCCUGAUGCAUUUCACCAGAAAUAUACCGUAAGUAUGGAUUUUGUAAGAACAUUUGAACGGCAGUGUGGAUCACAGGCCAGUGUAAAAAGAUUAAGAGCACAUCCUGCCUAUCACAGCUUCAAUAAUAAGUGGAACUUGCCUGUUUAUUUUCAAAUAAGUUACUAUUUUAACGGUUGAACAGUGCACCUCAAAAGUUCUGUCAUCAAUACACAGUGAAUGGACUCCAGUGAUGAAGGCUCCAGAGAGAUGGCACACUAUUUUUGAGUGAAAGUUUGUGAUGGAGUGUCUCCAAAUUGGAGGAGACGAGGAUACGGGCUAGGGGAUAUAGGCAGGGUAAAGGAAUUUCAACGUACUACUGCUUAGGAGUAUAUAUAUUUCAAGGCAGCUACUAUACCUUGUCUAUGCUUUAUCCUAAUCUGGAAUAACUGCAUGUUCAUGCCAAAUAAAGUUUCUACUUUCUAGGAAGAGGAGCAGUCUAUUAGGAAAAGUAUGUUCUUAGUCAGGGGAAGAUGUGAAGACAUUUCUCUCAUAAGUCCUCUUUUAUUUGGUAAUGUCUUUUGAUGUCUUUUGGCAACAUCACUGUAUGCUAUUUCAACCUCCUUAUCACUGGGGCAGGUGUUGGUGAACUCACCCCUACUGUAGGCAUUAGUUAGGUAUCUCCAGGUGCCAGUCAUUCCUUUUGGAAUAUCAAAGUUGGGGUAUUUUUUCGCCACCACCUUGACAAUGUGCAGCUUGGGCAGCAGGUUGCAGUCAGCUAGUGUCAUUUCAUUGCCAUCCAGAAAUUUACGUGUGGAAAACUUAAUGUCCUCCAUACUAGUCUCAUCAGUUUCAUUAGGGAGGGGAGAAUUCAGAUAUUCAUCUACUUUCUGCAGUGUUUUCAAGAGACCCGGCUCCAAAGUUUCAUUAGCCUCUGGCCUUGAAUUCUUGAUAUAUGCAGAGAAUUUGGCAAAGAUGUCCAUUCCAGCAGUAUUUGAUUCUGGGUGUUUUGGUGAAAGCUUUAAGUACUUGGGUGGGGAGGGGAGCAUAAGACUUCUUCAAGAAAUUCUUCACUCUUAUUUACGUCCGUUUUGACCUCAUUGUUGAAAGUUAUAAAUGGUGGGCGUGUCCCCGGAGCCAAGUUCUGCAGGUCUGCAGGCUUCCUUUUCAGGUCAAUGGUUGUGACACAACUCCUUUGAGCCAAAGAAUCAUGAAGAGCCUCUGGGAAAAGGGGCAGUUUCCUGUGCUUUCACCGUCACUGCCAGCCUUGACAAGAGCUCGAUGAUGGGCUCUCUGUCCUCCUCCUUCAACCCGUUCAGCGGCAUCGACAACGCCAUGGCCAGUUCGGCUGGGCUUCGUGGACAGCGGCGGCAGCGGCCGUUUCUGCUCCGGGACUGCUCUGGCUACGGGGUCCCGCCACGCUGCAGCUCCCUGGACUGUUCUGGCAUCUAGCUCGCCUCAGCUUCCGUGCCUCAGGCUCGUCUCCUCAGCACUGCCCCUCGCCCCUGAGGCUCUGAGGCGGCCGCAGCCCGGCCCUUUCAAGUCGUGGGGGCAGGGCGCCGGGGCAUGAAAGACAUUUUCGAUCUUCACCAGAGUUUAGCCAUAAUCAUUCAAAGGAAUUGCUUAACUUUUCUUUGUGAAUAGUUUUAUUUAAAAUUGAUGAAAUUAAAAAAGUUAUGUUUGAGUUAUGAAGUGUGGAACCUGUUUUCAGUUCAUUUGCUCUUCCACUUAAAAAGAAAUUCAAGUAAUACUUUAUAGAACACCAUUCGGUUGAUUUUUGUCAGUGGUUGGGUUAUUUAUUCUCUGGGAUAACAGAAUGUUUUGCGAACAUGGCUAGUGUCAAAGCUGUAUUGCUCUCUGAUUCACUUCAGGGUCAUUUAAAGUAAGCCUAAACGCCAGUAGGGUGAUGUUUCAGCAAAUUUCUAGGAAGGAAUAUCAGUACUAAUAUUGCACUCUCAGUAGCAAUCAGAUAGUCCCGGGUCUGACUCUGUGCCGACAUCCCCAUCAUCUUCAGGAAAAAAGGCACCCCUCCCACCACCUCCAUUCUGUGAGCACACGGGCACCCCUUCUGUCUCUGAUCCCCUAUUGUGUCAACACCUCAUUUGUUCUUCCAAGAGUUUUGGAAAGUAGGGUUAGGCAUUAGUUUUCAUAGAAAGAGAUUAAAUGCACAUGGGCCCCCAGCAGUCUCAAAUGGAGGUAAAUCAGUGGCUGCCUGGAAGCUGGGUGUUAGCGCCUUAAAUGCUACAGGCUGUGGUAUGUCUUUUUUAAUUGAACUCUUGCUAGAAUGGUGUAUGGUCCCAGGAUGGUCACAUGUGUGCUCUCUGUUCCAUUCAGCACAUGCUUAGCAUGGUGUAGCUCCUCUACAGCAUGAAGUCUGUGUGGUACUGAUGCGCCUUCCUUCCCCUCCACCCUCCUCAGGUUGUGUCCAUGCGUCAGGAUAGCCAUGCGUGGGGGACGGGGUGUGUGUCUCCAGAUCAUCCCCAUACCCAAAUGGAAGAGUUUAGGAGUGUUUGUAUUUGGGGUUGCCUGUCUUACAAAUCCUCUAUCAAGAGUAGAAUGGCAUCCCAUAUACAUGUGAAAACUAUAGCAUAACUUUUCAAAUUUCACCAAAGUAACAUCUCACUUUGUUUAUUUUCUAAGAAGUACAAUCUAACACCUCAAUCCUGGAAGUUACUGGCCAGCAAAGCUACUUGAGGGGCUGGUGCUGGACUCCUGCAGGGGAGGGAGGGGACAACUGGGUCACACGACAUAGACAGUUUUAGUCUUAGGGAUCUCACACCUGGUCACACGUCAUCUGCACGUCUGUUUAAAAGGCAUUAAUGUUAAGGGUCUGCUGCAUUUGUGUCUUGCACUUUCUCAUUUGUGUGGUUCUCAGAUUGUUGUGGCAUACAUACAGUUUUAUCCUGUGUCCUUCCUUACACUGAGUUAUACCUGUUCCUCUGAUGGCCGCAGAACUUCCAGCUGACCUCUCUUCACGCUGCAUUCAGUAGGAACUGUGCCGCAUGUUACGGAAACCUUCCCUUCCUUGGGGCUGUGAAGGUGGCUUCUGGUUCUCCGCGUUCUGAACAAUGCUGUGUUGGUGCCAGGCCUUUUCUGUGCUGAAGCUUCCUUCCUGUGUUUCGUGUGUUAACAUGUGGGCAAACGGUGGGAUUUGGGGUCUGUGGGGAAUGCAGGAGCUGGUCUGCUCUCGUCACUGCAGGGCAGCCCCUGCCCUCUCCUCCCCAGUGUGCUCAGGAGCACCGCCUUCUUUGCGGUUCUCCAGUGCUCCCUUCUCUUCCUCCACUGCUCUUCUGCCUCCUUCUGGGCCUCUCCCUGCUGCUUGGAGAGACUUGCCUUUCGCAGGCUUCACGGGGCAGUCACUGAGUUCUUUCCUGCAUGUGGCACAGGGAAGCUGUGGGGAGCGGCCAGCUCCAGCAGGCAGGGUGGGCCAGGGUCCUCUGCUCUCGGCCACUCGGGCCUUUGAGGGCAGGGCUGCUGCUCUUUCUAUGAAGUGCUGCUGCGUUUACUCUCCAGUUUCCUGAAGAUCAGUCUCUGAACUGCUAUUAAAAAGCAUAUAAGUACUGUCCAAAAAACCAAGAUUGUGGAUUAGGUAAAUUGAUGUUAAGUAUGUGUCAGAAUUUAUUGGUAGCAAGGGAACUAGUGUGUGACAGAAGAAUGUAUGGUAAAGAAAGUAUGAACAUGGAAGGGUUAUAUAGGUGGGAAGCAGGAUGCUACAUAGGCAGCUAAUUAAGGAAAUGAAUACACACACGGUUUCAUUUCACAGCCAUAAAAAUGUGUCCACAUCAGGUAUUAAAACAGAAGGCUGUUUGAAGACGACAUGAAAUGACAAAUGGCCCAGCAGAGAGAACAGAAAACCCAUCCAGAAAGCAGAUCCUGAGCCUCAGGCUGGACAUGCAGUUACCGAUAGCAGCACGAGAGACAGGCAGCAGACAUCUGAUGAGCGCCAGGCAGAAACUUGUUCUAGCUUAACUGCCUACUUUCAGUGAUUUAGAGAAAUAGCAGGAUCCUUAGAGGCAGCCCUUACAGAUGUCCUGGAAGAUGCACCAGCUGGGAGCUCAUAUCGCCUUUUGGCUUCUCAUAGGACGUGGAGCAGCCUUCAGAGGUGCUGGCCUGACAAGAUGUUCUUGCCGCUGCUGGCGCAUCAUCUGUGGAGACUGACGCUGCAGAUUCUGGCGCGGUACUCCAUGUUUGUCAAGGAAGUGGAAACAUCUUAUGGCUGAAAUCCUUUUUCAGCUUUUACUCGGGCCCAUCUCUAAUGAAAGUGCUAAGGAUAUUAAAAAGCCUUUGGUAACUGGCAGAAAAGAUCUUUCUAUCACCCAAGGCCAUCGCAAAGACCAAGCAAGUGGCCCUUCUGAAACAAAGCCCAUCGUCUCCAUUUCCAGCACUCCACUUGUCUAUGUGGUCACAGACCUGGACAGGCUUCAGGAGCAGGUGAGCCUGUGUCACAGAGGAUUCUAAGUGUGGGGUUCAGUGUUCUCACUGUCUAGCCUCAUGGGGUUUUAGACUUGUGGGCCCAGGGCCCCUGAGAAAGAGCAUCCUCUUCCCUCCCUCUGGUGUUGCCUCCACCCCCGACUGGCAUGCUGUCCUCCUUGGGGAGCAGCCUGUCUACCGCAUGCCUGCCUGGAGCCCCGGCUUCCCCUGAGCAGUGACGCCGCAGGCCAGGGCAAGCCAGGCCCUCACUAGCUCAGCUCACUCUGUGGAGCCAUGGUCUUUAAUGGGUUGGAUUCUAAUUGUUUCUAGUCUACUUACCCAGUACUUAUACUUUAAAAGUGCUGAACUAUUAAAACGUCUUCCUAUUUCCUCCACAUAGGUUUCAUGUUCUUGCUUUUACCAUUAACAGAACUUUGUUUAAGAACAGAAUGUGUUUAAGUGUUCUGAUACUUAAUUCUGCUUUUUUCAGGUUUAAGUGUUUUGUGGUGCUUGGACAAAUACUGUAUGUGUUGAGCAAAAACAUGGUCUUCAUCAUAAGGUUCUCUUGGUAUUGAGGGGAGCUACAGAAUAGUGUUAAUAGCUGUGAAAAUACGGUUUUCCGUGUUGCUGAAUUAUUUUCUACUGAAAGCAUCAAUUAAGAAUUUUGUUUUCUUCUGAUGCAAGUUACUGAAAGUUUCAAGUUUAGCUUUAUCAUUAAUAACAUUCUAGAGCUGUAGGUGCAUAUAGAAUUGUCUCUUCCUUUGAUUAAUAAAAAGUAACUGAAUA